CCUACGGGUGGCAGCAGUGAGGAAUAUUGGUCAAUGGACGAGAGUCUGAACCAGCCAAGUAGCGUGAAGGAUGACUGCCCUAUGGGUUGUAAACUUCUUUUAUAUGGGAAUAAAACGUUCCACGUGUGGGAUUUUGUAUGUACCAUAUGAAUAAGGAUCGGCUAACUCCGUGCCAGCAGCCGCGGUAAUACGGAGGAUCCGAGCGUUAUCCGGAUUUAUUGGGUUUAAAGGGAGCGUAGGUGGAUUGUUAAGUCAGUUGUGAAAGUUUGCGGCUCAACCGUAAAAUUGCAGUUGAAACUGGCAGUCUUGAGUACAGUAGAGGUGGGCGGAAUUCGUGGUGUAGCGGUGAAAUGUUUAGAUAUCACGAAGAACUCCGAUUGCGAAGGCAGUUCACUGGACUGCAACUGACACUGAGGCUCGAAAGUGUGGGUAUCAAACAGGAUUAGAUACCCCAGUAGUC
rnacentral:rRNA from 1 species